rnacentral:rRNA from 1 species
ACUCUGAUGCAGCGAUGCCGCGUGAGUGAAGAAGGCCCUUGGGUUGUAAAGCUCUUUCGUCGGGGAAGAAAAUGACUGUACCCGAAUAAGAAGGUCCGGCUAACUUCGUGCCAGCAGCCGCGGUAAUACGAAGGGACCUAGCGUAGUUCGGAAUUACUGGGCUUAAAGAGUUCGUAGGUGGUUGAAAAAGUUGGUGGUGAAAUCCCAGAGCUUAACUCUGGAACUGCCAUCAAAACUUUUCAGCUAGAGUAUGAUAGAGGAAAGCAGAAUUUCUAGUGUAGAGGUGAAAUUCGUAGAUAUUAGAAAGAAUACCAAUUGCGAAGGCAGCUUUCUGGAUCAUUACUGACACUGAGGAACGAAAGCAUGGGUAGCGAAGAGGAUUAGAUACCCUCGUAGUCCAUGCCGUAAACGAUGUGUGUUAGACGUUGGAAAUUUAUUUUCAGUGUCGCAGCGAAAGCGAUAAACACACCGCCUGGGGAGUACGACCGCAAGGUUAAAACUCAAAUGAAUUGACGGGGACCCGCACAAGUAGUGGAGCAUGUGGUUUAAUUCGAAGAUACGCGCAGAACCUUACCAACACUUGACAUGUUCGUCGCGACUUUAAGAGAUUAAAGUUUUCGGUUCGGCCGGACGAAACACAGGUGCUGCAUGGCUGUCGUCAGCUCGUGUCGUGAGAUGUUGGGUUAAGUCCCGCAACGAGCGCAACCCUCACUUUUAGUUGCCAUCAUUAAGUUGGGCACUCUGAAAGAACUGCCAGUGAUAAGCUGGAGGAAGGUGGGGAUGACGUCAAGUCCUCAUGGCCCUUACGUGUUGGGCUACACACGUGCUACAAUGGUAUCUACAACAGGGAGCAAGACUGCGAGGUCACAGCAAUCCUUAAAAGAUA